rnacentral:sRNA from 1 species
UCAUUAUGGUCUACGACUUUGUUGUCGA